UUUUUUUUUUAACACGAUAUCAUGGGAAAGAGAUGCUUUUGUUUGGUCUUUUUCAACAGACACGUGACCAAGGCAGCUUUGAAGCCUUUCUGAAGAGUCCUUGCUUCUGUAGGAUGUUAAAUGUGGAGUUUCCAGCUAUGCACUUCAUUCUACAGACUUAGUCACUCUUAUGUCAUACCAAUAAGUAAGAAUUGCUCAGAUGAAACCACAAUUUCCUUCUGUCUGUGGAGAGGAAGCAAGGAUGCUUUGCAGCCUCUUGUCACCCAUUUAUUUCAUCCACGAAGGAAACAGGGAGAAGCGGAAGAUAUUCAGCUUAGAAAUAAUACUUGGUGAUGAAUUCUGCUGUUGAUAGAAGUUACAAAAUAAGCCAUGCUAUACCCUAGGGGCAGAUGUAUUUUCAGAAAGUCACCUCCUUAUUUGUGAGAAGCACCUGCCAAUUAAUAUGCUUAAAAAUAUCACUGGAGUUAUGUACUCCAGGAAAGCACCAAUAGCUGGUAAGCGCCUACCCUUUCUGUAGUGUUGCAACUUCAGUAAAACCAAGUACAUUCAAGACUGAUGACUUGAUUCUCUCAUCAGAAAGAUAUGCGAGUAAGAAUUGUUGUCUAUCUUGUAAAAACAGCGCUACACUUGUACAUGCAUGUGUAGAGCUGUUAAAGAUUUUACAAGAUACAUGGGAAUGUGUGCCUGCUUAUCUAAGGAAAGAAGUGAGCUCAACAUUAACAACAAAAAAAUCCACCCUCUCGCCGAGACCUUGCCUGCCAAGUUUUAGCUGUGUGUUCUCUGUUUGCGGCACAUACUCCCACAUCCUGCAGUGAGAGGUGAACAUACUCUUUAAUGUAGAGUGAAGAUUUAGGAGCAAAUUCUACUUUCAUUUACAUCAUUAAAAUCCUAAUGAGGCUGUAAAUCAGGGUAAGAAUAUGGUUGAGGUCGAUAGGGUUGGAUGGAUUUAAAUGACUGUAGAAUUUGUCCAUUUUAGGAGGAAAUAUAAACCAGACUAGCCAGAGAAGAGCUCUGAAACAAAUACAAGUGCUGAGAGAAAAAAAUUUCACAUUCUGAACAGGAUCUUUCAGUAAGAACAGUCAAGUGAAUUUCACACCUCAUACAAUUGCAAAGGAAUUACAGCCACAUUGACAACACUUAACUCAGUUUGCUUCCAGGGUAAUGUAUUGCUGGUAAGAAGUAAAAUUUACAAUCGAUAAAACGUAUCUUUGAAAACGAAAUACAGCAGCGUAAGGGAAUAUUAUCUGUAUUUCACUUUAAACAUACAUAUGAGAAAACAGAUGACAAUCCCCAAUGUAGUAUCUAGUAGCCGUAGACAAAGGAGACAGAAUUGCUUUGUGCAUGGCUCAGUGUAUUGCGCAGGGAUCAAACGCGAAUAUGUGCACAGAUCAAAGGGGGCACAAUGCAAGUCAUAAUCUAUCCAACACUCACCUCAGUUUACACAAAGAUCCCCCUGACCUGGUGCAGACUUAUCUGAAGCACUCCACUUGCCAGCUGUAAGGAGAAAAGCACCGUAAGUUAAAAACAUCAAAGUAUGCUUCUGCGGUGCCCCACAUUACAGAGCCUACUGUGGAAACAGGCUCCUCGUGGAGCCUGUUCAGCUUACGGAGAAGGAGCAUGCAGCUCUCCAUCAGGAGAGGAGGAAGGAGCCCCGAGGAAAAAAAAAGGCAGGAAUGUUAUAUAUUAAAAACCUAAGUGAGGUAACCUGCAGAAACUGCUCAGGUAGCUUCUUUCACUCAAUCUGCUCAUCUAUCAAAAUUCCUUUAAGAUCUUGUAGAAGUGACACACAAUUGUACUUCUUGCACAAACAGCAGCAAAAAGGUCUGAGGAUGAGUAACACAGAUGAAACAGCACUUUUACAAGCAGUGCAAUUACACUCUGGUCUUGUCCUUCACAGAUUACGCCUCUUUGCAACUGCAAGAAGCAGUAGGAACCCUGCGUAUCCUUGGGAAUUAAUUUUUAUAUUUGGAAGGUCUAAACCAUCACAGUUUCAGUUUUCAACUGAAAAUGGGGAAAGAAUUCCUAAGGUUCAGCUGUUUAAAAAACCUUCAAUAAAACUGUCAAGAAGAAAAAGUUUUACUUGUUCCCACAGGAUUCAUUUCCCAAAUAAACGCAACAUGGCAUUUGAAUAUGUUUAUAUUGUGACUUCAAGAGUUUUUGUUAUGUAGUUGAAAUAUAAUAGUAUUCAAUAACAGCUGAUGCCAGAGUUAUUUUUAAAAUGGAUAAUACUGACAGCAGUCAGACAUAUUACAUGCUUAAUUUGAAUAAGUUUACGAUUCACUUGCAUUACAGAAAUUGUAUUUUGCUGUCAUUAUAAAAAUUACAUUAUUGAAGUACUGCAUGAUUUUAAUACCAAAUUAUCUUUUCACAGGAAGAAAAAAAAAAUAAAUCUGUGUGGUCAAUUAUACUGUAUUAAAAUCCGAAACACCAUUUUCGUAUUGAAUUGCAAACACUUCUUUGUGCGUUGUUUCUUCUCUGCAGCUUUACCAUUUCAUCAGAUACAACCUCACGGUUGAGUUUUACAGAACAGGUCUGAAUUGGAAAAAAUAGAUUAUUAAUACUGGGAUCUGUUAUGCUAAAUAUAUGUGUUAAUAAUCUGUGUUCUAUUAUGCUUAUCUUCUGUGGGUUUUGGCUAGUUUUCAAGGUCCCAAAUAUCAAUGAGUUUUUUAGUAAGCAUGGAGUAGGUUACUAUAUUAGGGAUAGAAUGGCUAAAUGGGUGAGACCAAGGAAAUGCACCGAAAGCUGUUGUCUGUGGAGUUGUAAAUAGUUCCCAGCAGACAUGUUGCUGCUUACUCUGCUAAGGCUCAAUGAAGCCAAAAGCACUGGGCCAAGAGAAGCAGAUUGUUUUAUUUGCUUGAAUUCAUGGGUGGCCCUUACUGCUCUAGGUCAGUUAUUAAUGAGGAAAAGAAGGUUAAUGGAAAUAGGAGGUGCUGACAGUCAAACAUUUAUCUUUCUGUGGAACCCAUGUAAUACCAGAUAAAAAUAGUACUCAUAUGCUGAUUACAAAGUGAGAUGCUUUUCAAACAUGUCUGAAUUUAACCAGACUUUUUUAGUAUGUGAUACAAAAAGAGUGUAUCUACAAUAAAUAAUAGCAAUACACACAAUGCAUUAAUGUGACUGCCUAAUUUCUCUAGCUAUAAUUAAACUCUAGAGAUGGCUCAACAUCCAGCCUGAUGCUGUUUCUGAAAAAGCUACUGUUGCUCUUCUCAUACAGGAUAUCCAAGCUUGAGGGGUGAAUUUCUUCCCCAUUCCAUUCCUUGCUUGUUCUGUAAGCAAGCCAAGGCAGUGCCUGGACUCCGGUGAAAAGCAUUCUUCUUUAUCUGCCAAUUUCUUUUGUCUGCUUUAUUGAAAAAGCUGCACCAUCAGAAUGCAGGCAAAGAAGGAUCACGUUAAAUAGCAGGAGAUGGGGUGGCACUACAGGGCUGGCCUCACAAAAUAGGC